rnacentral:rRNA from 1 species
GUCGAGAAUCUUUCACAAUGGGGGCAACCCUGAUGGAGCGACGCCGCGUGGAGGAUAAGGUCUUCGGAUUGUAAACUCCUGUCAUGCGUGAACAAGGUUGCUUGGUUAAUACCUGGGCAAAUUGAUGGUAACGCAAGAGGAAGAGACGGCUAACUCUGUGCCAGCAGCCGCGGUAAUACAGAGGUCUCAAGCGUUGUUCGGAAUCACUGGGCGUAAAGGGUGCGUAGGUGGCGUGGUAAGUCAGAUGUGAAAGCCCGGGGCUCAACCUCGGAACUGCAUCCGAUACUGCCAUGCUAGAGUACUGGAGAGGUGACUAGAAUUCUCGGUGUAGCAGUGAAAUGCGUAGAUAUCGAGAGGAAUACCAAAGGCGUAGGCAGGUCACUGGACAGUUACUGACACUGAGGCACGAAGGCCAGGGGAGUGAACGGGAUUAGAAACCCCAGUAGUCC